GGAAUUGUGGCUCAGUGGUUGAGCACUUGCCUGGCAUGUGUGAGGCCCUGGGUUCAAUCCUCAGCACUGCAU
rfam:Ictidomys tridecemlineatus contig096493, whole genome shotgun sequence.